UACGGGGGGGGCAAGCGUUGUUCGGAAUUACUGGGCGUAAAGGGCUCGUAGGUGGCCAACUAAGUCAGACGUGAAAUCCCCAGGCUUAACCUGGGAACUGCGUCUGAUACUGGAUGGCUUGAAUUCGGGAGAGGGAUGCAGAAUUCCAGGUGUAGCGGUGAAAUGCGUAGAUAUCUGGAGGAAUACCGGUGGCGAAGGCGGCAUCCUGGACCGAGAUUGACACUGAUGAGCGAAAGCGUGGGGAGCGAACAGG
rnacentral:rRNA from 1 species